rnacentral:rRNA from 2 species
UGGGGAAUAUUGCACAAUGGAGGGAACUCUGAUGCAGCGACGCCGCGUGAACGAAGAAGGCUUUCGAGUCGUAAAGUUCUUUUAUAUGGGAAGAUAAUGACGGUACCAUAAGAAAAAGCCCCGGCUAACUACGUGCCAGCAGCCGCGGUAAUACGUAGGGGGCUAGCGUUGUCCGGAAUCACUGGGCGUAAAGGGUUCGCAGGCGGAAAUGCAAGUCAGGUGUAAAAGGCAGUAGCUUAACUACUGUAAGCAUUUGAAACUGCAUAUCUUGAGAGGAGUAGAGGUAAGUGGAAUUUUUGGUGUAGCGGUGAAAUGCGUAGAUAUUAAAAAGAAUACCGGUGGCGAAGGCGACUUACUGGGCUCAUUCUGACGCUGAGGAACGAAAGCGUGGGUAGCAAACAGG